rnacentral:lncRNA from 1 species
UCAAUGUACGGGUUUGAACUUCCUGAGCAGAGGCGGAGCCAUCCUAGUAACAGGGGUUCAUCUGAACUCCCUUUGAUGAAAAACUAUACUAUUGAUGCAUACAUAAUUAAAAUGAUUUUUAUUUAUAUAUUGUAGAUGUUGAAUAAUCCCCUUCGGUGGGUUUUUCUUCAGAUUUUGAACCCCCUCAGUAAAAAUUUCGACUUUGUCUCUGUAAUUUUAAACACCCACGACUUCAAAAUUCUGAGUCCGCCGCUAUUUUCACAGACAAUUGCAAAGUGGUGGUUGUGAAGAAGAUUCCAAGUGUAGGAAGGAAUCUUUGAGACUAGCAAGAAUUUCAAAAUGGAAACAUUAUUGUUUUUGCCUAGAAAGGAAAGUACUUUAAAAUUAGGAGAAAAUAUGUGAAGAUCGAAACAAAUAAAAUAACCAAGACCAAUUCACAUCGAUUGAGAUUUCGGAUCAGGACAGAAAGAUAGUAGGAAUGAGUGCGUCGCAUCCUGCUGCUCGCUCAUGGUGUUUCACGAUCAAUGAAAAUGAACGGAGAAAUGGUGGAACACGCAGAACCACAUAUUAGAUUUACUCCAGUGCACCACAGUGCAUUAUAUACCCACCACUAAUAUAUCGCAGGAUUCAUCAUAGCAGGAGCUUAUGCUCAUGGAGCUAUAUUUUUCAUAAGAGAUUACAAUCCAGAGCAAAAUGAAGAGAAUGUGUUGGCAUGAAGUACUAAUAGGUAGGAGGACUUUGUUAUCCGUGUUAGUAGCUAUAGUAUACUAGUUUUAUUUCAGAUUAUUAUAUUGUUUGUUGUAUUACUUGGUGAGUCUUGUUUAUAAUAUUUUUGGAUGUGGUAAUUUCUAUCACAUCUUGUCCUUUUAUAAUUACUAUUCCUUUUCUAGAUCAUUUUAUCUUGAGUCGUGGUCUAUUGGAAACAAUAUUUCUAUCUCACGUAUGAGGUAGUGAUAUAUGUUGAGAUUUACCUUCCUUCUAUUUUAUGAUUUUCAUUAAUGGUAGAAUUUUUUUAUUUUUUAUUUUUAGUUUAAGAAUAUUUUACAGUAUUUACUUCCUUUUAAGUUUAGGGUUUAUUAAUUGCAGAAUAUUUAGUCUAAUAGAUAUAAGAAAAAUAUCAUAUUUUCCUUAUUUAUUUUAUUUAGUUUCUUAUAAAUCGAAAUGCACUCUUCUAUUUGAAUCAAUGAAAAGAAUCAAUAUCAAGAGUUAUCAUUCAGUUUCUGUUUAAUUUUUUUUCUUAUCUUUUUUAUUCCGUAAUAAUAUAGACUGCGUACAGUUAUUUCAUCCAAACCCCAUCUGAUGAAAAUAUACUAAAAAUGUUAUUGUUAUUAUUGUGAAGCUAUUGUAAGAUAAAAUUUAUUGUGUUAGAUUAUAAUCAUUAUAUUUCACACUUUACUUAAAAUUUAUUGUGUUAGAUUAUAAUCAUUAUAUUUCACACUUUACUUUGUUGGGUACCUAAAGAACUUACAAUAAAAUUUAUUGUGUUAGAUUAUAAUCAUUAUACUUCACAGUUUACUUAAAAUUUAUUUUGUUAGAUUAUAAUCAUUAUAUUUCACACUUUACUUUGUUGGGUACCUAAAGAACCUAAUUAACCACCAGGGUUGGUGUGGUGGUUCAGCACCUCACCUCUUAAGCAAGAAGUCGGAGGUUUGAUCCCCAUCUUUGGUGAAUGGAAAAAAAUCUGUGGUCAGUUUCCUACCGCUUAAUGCGCUGACAAUAGAAACGGAGAAUUAGUCUCACGGCUGCCGGCUGUGGGGAUACCUUGGGCAAUCAAAAACAAAAAACUAAAGAACCUAAUUAUUCAAGGUGGCAGAUAAAAUAUUACACGUUAAUAGUAUCUUUAGUAGGGGUGGGCAUUCGGUAUUCGGUUUGGUAGUUUCAUAAUUCAGGUUCGGUAACUCGAUAAUCGAUAAUUGAAAAUAGAUACCAAAUACCAUACCAUUAAACUUCGAUUCAGUAAUUCAGUAAUCGGUAAAUUAAAUUUUGGUUCGGUACGGAAUUCGGUAUUACCAUAUUAAAGUUGGACAUGCUUGUAGUGAUCCUAUUUGUUGAUAAUGGUGGUGAUUUCCAACCAAUAUUUUGACACCUCUAAAUACACAGUUUUACACCAGAAAAAUUUAAUUUUUUUGGGUCUUGUUACAUGUUGAUACGUGUGACUCAAUUAAUGAAACAUCUUAAAACCUAUGUUAUUGUAGUUUGAUCUAGCUCCAAGAAGGGGAGAACUGGAUGCAGCACGAACUGGAUGUAAAUGUGAUGUAAAGUCAUAAUAUUACUUUUUAUUAAUGUGAUGGAGAGUAAUAUAUGUUAUGUUGUCUGUCAAAUGUUGAGUUUUGCUUCUAUCCGCUGUUGACAUGUAAACACAAGGAUUAAGAAAGUUUGAUCAAGUUUCCUUGCUUAAAUCCAUAUUCC